CCUACGGGAGGCAGCAGUGGGGAAUAUUGCACAAUGGGGGGAACCCUGAUGCAGCAAUGCCGCGUGAGUGAUGACGGCCUUCGGGUUGUAAAGCUCUGUCUUCAGGGACGAUAAUGACGGUACCUGAGGAGGAAGCCACGGCUAACUACGUGCCAGCAGCCGCGGUAAU
rnacentral:rRNA from 1 species